GACUUCAAAUCCGUCGAGGGCGAUCGUGCAAUGGGACUCAACUCCCUCCC
rnacentral:tRNA from 1 species